rnacentral:rRNA from 1 species
ACUCACUCUUUCUUCUUUCUUAACACAUGCAAGUCGAACGGAAAGGCCCUGCUUUUGUGGGGUGCUCGAGUGGCGAACGGGUGAGUAACACGUGAGUAACCUGCCCUUGACUUUGGGAUAACUUCAGGAAACUGGGGCUAAUACCGGAUAGGAGCUCCUGCUGCAUGGUGGGGGUUGGAAAGUUUCGGCGGUUGGGGAUGGACUCGCGGCUUAUCAGCUUGUUGGUGGGGUAGUGGCUUACCAAGGCUUUGACGGGUAGCCGGCCUGAGAGGGUGACCGGCCACAUUGGGACUGAGAUACGGCCCAGACUCCUACGGGAGGCAGCAGUGGGGAAUAUUGCACAAUGGGCGGAAGCCUGAUGCAGCAACGCCGCGUGCGGGAUGACGGCCUUCGGGUUGUAAACCGCUUUCGCCUGUGACGAAGCGUGAGUGACGGUAAUGGGUAAAGAAGCACCGGCUAACUACGUG